CGAAUCUUGAAAUGGGAAAGAGGGGAUUUGAAGAUCAAGAGGCGCCCUCUACCUCAGCUGGGCCAGUCGACCUCGAUUGUCUUUGGAAUUUUUGUAACUGAGUGGGCAAAGCAUUGGAAAUUGACCAUCAGGUCGAAGAAAAAGAAGAGUAGUUUGAAUUACUAGUAUUAUGAUUUUGAAAAGAUGUUGUUGUUCUGUGAAUAUAUUUGUUGUAUCUAAUUAAUGUAGAAGUUGAAAGAAACUGAAGCAAAAUCAUGAUAUAAUAUGUAGUAUUUGCAAGAAAUUACCAUAUGAACUCCUUUUCAAC
rnacentral:misc_RNA from 1 species